UUUCCGUAGGUGAACCUGCGGAAGGAUCAUUAACACGUAUCCACGUAUCAACCACGUUGAACUGUACAUUGUGCUGUAUGCUGAGAACGAUAGGCUAGGUGGUAAGGAAUUAGCAAUAAUUCUCGUCUCCGUUCUACCGAUAGCUUUUUUGACAACCUCCGGGUUGUUUUUUUAGGGGUUAUCAGGCUGCAGUGCUUUGAUUGCCACAAUUGUUUUCUAACCACUAUGAAUUUGUGUUCUAAUAUCAAAAUCUUAACAGGCGUUUUUUGUUGCUGGCCCACAAGGCCGCCGAAUUGCCUUUUAAGUAUGUACGAAAAUCUUGAACAACUCUUAGCAACGGAUAUCUUGGUUUCC
rnacentral:misc_RNA from 1 species